UACAUAAGCACAAAAGGGGCUCUCAUCUUGAACCCUAAUUCACAAAGAAAUCAUCAAAAUUCAAGAAGAAAAACGGAUCAAAAUAAAAUCCAAGCUGAAUUUAGUGAUCACUCAAGUGAGGGGAUCACAAGGUAUGUCUAAUUUUCAUGUUUGGCAAGGUGAUUGAAUCUUCAAGCAGUCAAGUUGGAACGGACGCGCGCUUGAAGGAUAAGCUUUGAAAGGUGAACGUUAUGGGUCUCCGGAUGAAGAUCAAGCGACGAACAAGAACCAAACACACGUUUAAACGAAGCUUCCGCACUGAUCUCGUUUUGUUUUGUUAAGAAGUGAAUUAUGAAAACACUUAUAACUAUGUUUUUGAAUGUUUAAAACAUGUGUGAAUACUUUUGAU
rnacentral:lncRNA from 1 species